ACGCUGGCGGCAUGCUUUACACAUGCAAGUCGGACGGCAGCACAGAGAAGCUUGCUUCUUGGGUGGCGAGUGGCGAACGGGUGAGUAAUAUAUCGGAACGUACCGAGUAAUGGGGGAUAACUAAUCGAAAGAUUAGCUAAUACCGCAUAUUCUCUGAGGAGGAAAGCAGGGGACCUUCGGGCCUUGCGUUAUUCGAGCGGCCGAUAUCUGAUUAGCUAGUUGGUGGGGUAAAGGCCUACCAAGGCGACGAUCAGUAGCAGGUCUGAGAGGAUGAUCCGCCACACUGGGACCGAGACACGGCCCAGACUCCUACGGGAGGCAGCAGUGGGGAAUUUUGGACAAUGGGCGCAAGCCUGAUCCAGCCAUGCCGCGUGUCUGAAGAAGGCCUUCGGGUUGUAAAGGACUUUUGUCAGGGAAGAAAAGGCUGUUGCUAAUACCGACAGCUGAUGACGGUACCUGAAGAAUAAGCACCGGCUAACUACGUGCCAGCAGCCGCGGUAAUACGUAGGGUGCGAGCGUUAAUCGGAAUUACUGGGCGUAAAGCGAGCGCAGACGGUUACUUAAGCAGGAUGUGAAAUCCCCGGGCUCAACCUGGGAACUGCGUUCUGAACUGGGUGACUAGAGUGUGUCAGAGGGAGGUAGAAUUCCACGUGUAGCAGUGAAAUGCGUAGAGAUGUGGAGGAAUACCGAUGGCGAAGGCAGCCUCCUGGGAUAACACUGACGUUCAUGCUCGAAAGCGUGGGUAGCAAACAGGAUUAGAUACCCUGGUAGUCCACGCCCUAAACGAUGUCAAUUAGCUGUUGGGCAACUUGAUUGCUUAGUAGCGUAGCUAACGCGUGAAAUUGACCGCCUGGGGAGUACGGUCGCAAGAUUAAAACUCAAAGGAAUUGACGGGGACCCGCACAAGCGGUGGAUGAUGU
rnacentral:rRNA from 1 species